CCCCCUGGCCAACGUGCGUAAUUUGCCAUGCAGUGUAUUGCCUUAGUGUUGCUCAAGGCUGUGAUGGGGUGAGCUCACUUCCCUUAAUGGAGGACACUUGUUUUUCCUUUGCCAAUGAGAAGAGCAAUUGGAAAUCCUGCUGAAUCCACAGUUCCUCUUCAAGCCUGAGCUAGAGGUUAUACCCAUUUAUUUUUUCAAACUAUGCUUUCCAGGAAUAAGCCAGGUGCUUAGCAAUAUAAAACAUCAUCCAAAUGGGCUGAGGCCUGGGUGAAGGAUAAACACAACAUCUGAUCAGACCUGAAAACCAGGAAGCUAGCAAAGACUACUAGGGUCAAGUCAAAGGGCUCAGGUGCAAACUUAAUAGGCUCCCACUAAUCUAAGUUGACGCAGUUUAAGAUAAAAGAGAGUAAUAAUAGCACGAGAUUGAAAUUAUUUAAAUCCAUAAGCUAUAAUGAUAGUAAAAAAAAAAAUCACCAUAACUUAACAGUUACAUCUGGAGGAUGCUAGGGAACUAACUCAUUAUUUUGAAAACUGAAAGACAAAGGGAAAGAAUUGAGUAUUGAUACCACUUUUCCCAUAUAAACAAUAAUCAAACAGUAGAUAAGGGACAUUUUCUCUUUAUAGAAGUAGUCCAGCUAAGAAGUAAAGGAUAAUUAGUAGAAUAAGAAAAUAUCAUGUUGCAACUUCUGAUAGAUAAAUGAAUCAAGGCAAUAAUCAUCAGUGGAUGCUCACAUCACAGAAAGACAGACAGUCGUACACCAUGUGCCUCCUGUUGGAGAAAACCACCACUCUCUAUAAAGUAGUCUUGCAAAAAACAAAAAAAAAAGGAUCAAAUUUGCUCCAAUUAGCAAUAGACAAGUCAGAGGAACAUGUUAAAUGACAACUUAAAGAUGCAAUCAGUAAAAUCCAAACUUUGGGAAACUCUGCAGGACUAGUAACUUUGUUUCUUCAACAAUAACAAAAAUUGGAGAAAAAAAGAAAUGGAGGGAAACCUACAAAUCAAAAGAGACUUGAGAAAUUAUAAACCAAUUACAAUGUGUGGAACUUGUCUGGAUCAGGAGCCAAAAAGUAUCACAAAGAAUUUUUUUUAAAAAGAUUCUUAAUACAAUCAGAAAAUGUGAACACUGGGUAUUUGAUAAUUCUAAGAAAUCAUUAAUUUUUAGAUGUGAUAAUGGGAUUAUGGUUUUAUUUUUGUUUUUAUUUAUAGUUCUUAUGUUGUAGAGAUAUAGACUGAACUGUCUACAGAUGAAAUGGCAUUAGGUCCAAGAUUGGCUUUAGUAUAAUCUGUGGAGAAGUAGAGGAAAGGUAAAUAAGAUUGACCAAAUUUUGAUAAUUGUUAAAGUCAAAUGCUGUACAGGAAAUCAAGUUGGUUGAACUAUUCUUUCUACUUUUAUAUAUUUCUAAAUUCCUAUGAUAGAAAAAUAAUAAAAAUAACUGCAACCGAUCAAGACAACUAAAUAUGUUUUAAAAUGCUGUCAAUUAAUAAUAUGAAACUCAUACAAAGAGAAAACCACAAACAAAACAAAAUUAAAAUGUAACCCCCAAAAUUACACAUGCAUAAAAAAUUGUUUUUGUCACCAUUGGAGGAAUCUUUCUUGUGUGAACUCUUCAAAGAGCCAUGGUUAGAUGAAGAAAAUCUUUGAAGAAUUCUAGCCAAUCAAUGUGGAAAGAAAAAUAGAAAUAGAUCAUUUCGCGGCCCCUAAAGAAAUUCAAGCAAAGAUUGUCAAUGGGUGCUGUAAUCAUUAGAAGAAAGGUUUGUGGGCAACUUGACCACAGCAUUAUUCCACAUAUUCCCUGAUAGUCAUGAGCGGAGAAACUCAGUGUUACAAUGGAGGGUCAGACAGAUCCAUCUUGGCAGCAUCAAAGUGGGACGACGAGUCACUACGCCUCCUGGGAUGAUGCAAUGGGAAGCACACAGUUCUUUCAAAAUGUCUUCUUCUCCAAAAUGUUGAACUUCAAUCCAAUCAAAACUUUAUAUCUAGUUUCCAGUUUACAGGAAAUACAGGCAAUGUAGCAACGAGUUAAAUGACACCAUGAGGAAACAAAUAGCCCAAACCAGAUUUCUACAGGACAAAUCAAAGGCACGAAAAGGGUUAGGAGUGGGAGGUAGCAGGAGGUGACUUUUUUAAAUUAAAAUAAAUAUGAGACACAAUAACUAAAAUAUACAAUCAAAUAAAACCUCCCUGUUGCACAUGGGUUCUCUGGGAAGCAGAUUCUGAGACAGAAUUUAGCAUGCAAGAUAUUUACAAAGGAGUGCCCUGGGAUCAUCUGUGAUAUGGAGGGUAAGGAAGCAGGAGUGGGCAGAGGGAGAACUGAGCUGCAAUGCAGGCCCAAAGAGAGCCUCAGCUGGGACUAGAGGGGCCCUUCCAUGUUGUCCCAAAACGGCCAGGCAAUUUAUACCCCUUCAUAAAUUAGUCUUUGGAUAUAAGCACCCCCAAGAAGGGCUUAGUCUUGCUGAGGUGCCUCUCUGCAGCUGAGACCAUCCUUCAGGGAUUAACAUCUGAAGGCUGUCUGCCCACAUUGCAAGUUCUUCACUGAGACGGGAUCUGCACAGCACAUUUCUAUGUCCAUCUCAGCCACACCUCGUACUGCUAGGAUCCACAACUUCAUAUAUGUUCUGAAAGAAGCAACCCUAAGGGGCUGAUGGCUAAGACUGUCUGCCAGCAGCACUCCCAGCAGCCGCGGCAACAAGUCCACUAAAAGAGGAUCCAGGGGGCUGCAUCACACUGUCCUUCAUGCUCCUCUUUCCUGAACUCUGUUUGGUUUUCCCCAGUUGUAAGUAUGCAGUACAGAAAUAUAUCUGGGCUUUAUUGCUUAUAUUUUAAAUAUUUGUUCCUUCAGGCACAUAAACUCAUUUUACGAAUAUGGCUAAAGUCUCAUCACAAAAAUUUCACUUUUUUCAACAAUUUACUUUUCAUUACUAUUUUAAAAUUUUUAAAAAAUUUAAAGGGAAUUGGACAAAAUAUGAUAUAGUUAAUAAUAUAAUAUAUAGUAUUAUAUCUGAUAUAACAUAUGUAAUAGAAUGAGUGCACAUAGACAUUUAUUAUGAUUGUCAUAAUGCUGGGCACACUGAGUACUCAGCUAAUGUGUGAGGACAGAUUUAUUCAUUGGAUGUUUUUAUUAGCUUUUCUGAGAUCUCUUCUCAUUUCAGAAACCUAACACUUUACCACUUAAAAAUCAUCCAGAAAGGGCUGCAUCAGAGGAUGUGGCAACAUCAUCCUGACUUGACAGCUUCAGAGCUCUAACACUGUGCUUUUAAUAGAAAACAAUCACUGAAUUCCACAAAUGUGCAACGCCUGCUCUCUGAUAGAGACUUUAAGACACUCGCAGUGAAUGACAAAUCGGCCACACAAUCUGUCAGAACCCGACACCAUGGCCUGAUGGCAAAACGUUUCCUUGGGAUGUAUCCUCCACUUAUCUGGCAAAAUGGAGCUGCUUCUGAGCAGAGGAAGAGCAAGGCAGCUGGCAGGAUGGAGCCAUUCUAGACACAUCGGCAGCUUGGGUGUAUCCCAAAGAGGAGAGGAGGCUGAAGUUGGGCCAGUGUCCACUUCUGAUCCAAUCACCUCUGGCCCUGGAGAAUAUACACACUCUGUGGAACACUUAACAUGGCUGAAUUAGGACCUGCUGGGGUUCUAGGUGAGCGGUGCUGUUUUCUGAGAAGAUAAAAGUCUACUUACUUGAGGUAGUUGUUACUUAUGAGCAAUUGGUUAAGUGUCAGUCAUCUCGAUGCCUCUUGGCUUCAGGACCCUUCCCUUCCUCCAACGCAUUGGUCUGCUUAGGUGACUGUCUCCUGCCAAUCAUAUUGCUUGUCUGCAUAAUUCCUCACACCUGUCACU
rnacentral:lncRNA from 1 species